rnacentral:rRNA from 1 species
AGGGAUCAUUACAGAGAGUUGACCCUGACUCCCUAUACCCAUUGUGAACAUUACCCCGCGUUGCCUCGGCAGGCGGGGGCGGGGGGGUUGGCGCGGCCUAGGCCAGACCUCCUCCCCCCCCCCCUCUCUCCCUGCCGGCGGCCCUAUGAACCUCUGGUAUUAUUAAAUUCUUCUUCUGAGUGGGAUAACGUAAAUAUGUUAAAACUUUCAACAACGGAUCUCUUGGUUCUGGCAUCGAUGAAGAACGCAGCGAAAUGCGAUAAGUAAUGUGAAUUGCAGAAUUCAGUGAAUCAUCGAAUCUUUGAACGCACAUUGCGCCCGCUAGUAUUCUGGCGGGCAUGCCUGUUCGAGCGUCAUUUCAACCCCUUAAGCCUUUGUUGCUUAGCGUUGGGGGCACACGGCGAGAUCCGCCGCGGCCCCUCGAAGUCAGUGGCGGGGCCGGACAACGCACCCCAGACGUAGUAGACUUCAAUCAUCUCGUCUGCGGGCCGUGCCGGUCCCCUGCCGUAAAAUUACAGAAGAGACAAGGCCACUUGKCCAAAAGGUUGACCUCGGAUCAGGUAGGAAUACCCGCUGAACUUAA